UACGUAGGUGGCAAGCGUUGUCCGGAAUUAUUGGGCGUAAAGCGCGCGCAGGCGGUCCUUUAAGUCUGAUGUGAAAGCCCUCGGCUCAACCGAGGAGGGUCAUUGGAAACUGGAGGACUUGAGUGCAGAAGAGGAAAGUGGAAUUCCAAGUGUAGCGGUGAAAUGCGUAGAGAUUUGGAGGAACACAAGUGGCGAAGGCGACUUUCUGGUCUGUAACUGACGCUGAGGCGCGAAAGCGUGGGGAGCAAACAGG
rnacentral:rRNA from 1 species